rnacentral:rRNA from 1 species
UGGGGAAUUUUGGACAAUGGGCGAAAGCCUGAUCCAGCAAUGCCGCGUGUGUGAAGAAGGCCUUCGGGUUGUAAAGCACUUUUGUCCGGAAAGAAAUCCUUGGCUCUAAUACAGUCGGGGGAUGACGGUACCGGAAGAAUAAGCACCGGCUAACUACGUGCCAGCAGCCGCGGUAAUACGUAGGGUGCAAGCGUUAAUCGGAAUUACUGGGCGUAAAGCGUGCGCAGGCGGUUUGCUAAGACCGAUGUGAAAUCCCCGGGCUCAACCUGGGAACUGCAUUGGUGACUGGCAGGCUAGAGUAUGGCAGAGGGGGGUAGAAUUCCACGUGUAGCAGUGAAAUGCGUAGAGAUGUGGAGGAAUACCGAUGGCGAAGGCAGCCCCCUGGGCCAAUACUGACGCUCAUGCACGAAAGCGUGGGGAGCAAACAGGAUUAGAUACCCUGGUAGUCCACGCCCUAAAACGAUGUCAACUAGUUGUUGGGGAUUCAUUUCCUUAGUAACGUAGCUAACGCGUGAAGUUGACCGCCUGGGGGAGUACGGUCGCAAGAUUAAAAACUCAAAUGAAUUGAC